AAACCAGUCAUAGGGCACCUCUCAGUUGGCAGGUGAUGGUAAUUAGUACUAGAAUUACCAUAUUACUGCAAUUUUAUGGGUGAAAAACAGAAUUUGUUCCCAUACCUGCCAAAGGAGAGUUGCCCAGUGACUGCUUC
rnacentral:pre_miRNA from 1 species